GGAGGGAUUGCUCAGUUGGUAGAGCAUGAGACUCUUAAUCUCAGGGUUGUGGGUUUGAGCCCCACAUUGGGUUAAAGAUUCCUGC